rnacentral:rRNA from 1 species
GUCCACGCUGUAAACGAUGGGCACUAGGUGUCGCGGGUAUUGACCCCUGCGGUGCCGCAGCUAACGCAUUAAGUGCCCCGCCUGGGGACUACGGCCGCAAGGUUAAAACUCAAAGGAAUUGACGGGGGCCCCGCACAAGCGGUGGAGCAUGUGGUUCAAUUCGACGCAACGCGAAGAACCUUACCCGGGCUAGACAACAGAGGACAUCUCUAGAAAUAGAGCCUUCCCUUCGGGGACCUCUGGUUCAGGUGCUGCAUGGCUGUCGU